rnacentral:rRNA from 1 species
ACGGGUGAGUAACGCGUGGGAAUCUACCUUUUGCUACGGAAUAACUCAGGGAAACUUGUGCUAAUACCGUAUGUGCCCUUUUGGGGAAAGAUUUAUCGGCAAAGGAUGAGCCCGCGUUGGAUUAGCUAGUUGGUGAGGUAAAGGCUCACCAAGGCGACGAUCCAUAGCUGGUCUGAGAGGAUGAUCAGCCACACUGGGACUGAGACACGGCCCAGACUCCUACGGGAGGCAGCAGUGGGGAAUAUUGGACAAUGGGCGCAAGCCUGAUCCAGCCAUGCCGCGUGAGUGAUGAAGGCCCUAGGGUUGUAAAGCUCUUUCACCGGUGAAGAUAAUGACGGUAACCGGAGAAGAAGCCCCGGCUAACUUCGUGCCAGCAGCCGCGGUAAUACGAAGGGGGCUAGCGUUGUUCGGAUUUACUGGGCGUAAAGCGCACGUAGGCGGACUUUUAAGUCAGGGGUGAAAUCCCAGAGCUCAACUCUGGAACUGCCUUUGAUACUGGAAGUCUUGAGUAUGGUAGAGGUGAGUGGAAUUCCGAGUGUAGAGGUGAAAUUCGUAGA